AUAAAGGAGGGAUUUCACAACGUUCAUUCCAAAAAACUGUGGCUAUUCAUUUCUGGAAGUGAUUCACUGCAGAAGAAUCGCUGUUUGGGGGUGGAGGGAGCAUUGAUUUUUAGAAGCCAGCCUGCCCUCUGAGAAGUGAGCAGGAACCUCCGAGAUGGCAGCCACGUGCCUUCUGACCCCCAGCCCUGCUCCCUGAAUCACCACCCCUCGAGAUGACAUGCAGUGACCAAUUUCCUCUUAAAACUGCCUUCUGUACAAAAACCCUAUGAUCCACGCACCCUGUGUCUAAUCCUCUGCAAUGGGGCCAGUCUGCAGAUCCGUCUGGGCGGGCUGCGGUAGCAUUCUCCACCUGCCAACACUCAGUUGCUGGUGAGUAACCAGCAUACGGACACUCACUUCCUAGAUGACGCCUUGCUCUGUUGCCGAGGGUGGUCUGUAACUCCUGGCCUUUAGCGACUCUCCCGCCUUGGCCUCCUAGAGCACUGGGGUUACAGGCAUGAACCACUGUGCCCAGCCUGCAUGAUGUAAUCUCCAAAUUGAGGGCAGGGGAGAGAGUGGUCUCACAACCGAAGGGCACUAGCCACUGAGAAGUCCUAAGGCUAUGUUUGAGUUCUGGCUCAUCUUUUUUGCUAAUUUGUUCUUGCGCCUAUCACCCAACCUUUCCAAGCCAGUUUCAUCGUCAGCGACAACAGCACACUGACAUGCAGGACCCACUCAGGAGCUACCACAAGCUGCACAUCCGUCCAUUUGUUGAAUCUUCACAGCAGCCCUGGAGGUCACCCAGGCAUGGAAUGCACAGCUCUGCCAGACAGAAAGCGCUUUGGAUGCCUGAGAAACAACAGCUUGUCCGGGCCACUGAUGCGAAGAGAGGCCACGGUUUCCUUUUUCUCUGCUCUGAAUGGCAGCCUUGACGUCACAACAGCUAGGAACCACUGGAGGGACAAAUAACAAGGCGCAAGCCAGAAGCGCCCUGCUCUGUCGCAGGGGCAGGGCCAUUUUCAUGCAGUUCUGAUGUGUUCUGUGGUCGCUGUGAGUCGGCGGGAGCAGAGACAAAUGACUGGAGCUUUAGGCGUAAAGGCGGUGUCUCUAGGCUGAUCAAACAGCCCUUGCCCAGUGCUAAUUGCCUUCACGGAACCUGGAUAAACUAUAGUUCCCGAAUUAAACUUGUUUCUGACGAACUAGA